UAGUCGAUUGGUCGCUGCGUUUUUAUUAACGGAGAGGAAAGUCCGGGCAUCUUAUAAGCGAGGUGCCAAGUUAACGCUUGGCGUAUAACAGAAAAAGCUGUUAUGCAGGGAAAGUGCAACAGAAAAAAUACCGCCAAUCGGUUGCGUUAUCUACGGCUGAAUACUUGUGUUAUUUCACAUGUAAGCUGUGGGUGGUAAAACCAAUUGGUAAGGGUGAAAAGGGGAGGUAAGAGCUCACCGCACAAACAAACGUUUGUGGCAUUGUAAACCCCACUUGAUGCAAGACCAAAUAGGGAUAGCAAGAUUUUAAAAAGUCACAGGUGCUUAUUCCUGUGCUGUCCGGGUAGGUUGCUGAAGUCUGAUGGUAACGUCAGAAUUAGAUAAAUGACCAAUCAAAUGCAUUAUGUGUAUUAAAGUGUAAAGCUAUGGUAACGUAAUGUAUUGGACAGAACCCGGCUUAUAGACUAAUC
rnacentral:RNase_P_RNA from 1 species